rnacentral:rRNA from 1 species
AGAGUUUGAUCCUGGCUCAGAUUGAACGCUGGCGGCAGGCCUAACACAUGCAAGUCGAACGCGAAAGUCCUUCGGGAUGAGUAGAGUGGCGGACGGGUGAGUAACGCGUAGGAAUCUGUCCGGUAGUGGGGGAUAACGUUCCGAAAGGAACGCUAAUACCGCAUACGCCCUACGGGGGAAAGGGGGGGAUCUUCGGACCUUCUGCUAUCGGGGGAGCCUGCGUCGGAUUAGCUAGUUGGUAGGGUAAAGGCCUACCAAGGCGACGAUCCGUAGCUGGUCUGAGAGGAUGAUCAGCCACACCGGAACUGAGACACGGUCCGGACUCCUACGGGAGGCAGCAGUGGGGAAUAUUGCGCAAUGGGCGAAAGCCUGACGCAGCCAUGCCGCGUGUGUGAAGAAGGCCUUCGGGUUGUAAAGCACUUUUAGUGGGGAGGAAAGGGCGCUGGCUAAUAUCCAGCGCAGUUGACGCUACCCACAGAAAAAGCACCGGCUAAUUCCGUGCCAGCAGCCGCGGUAAUACGGAAGGUGCAAGCGUUAAUCGGAAUUACUGGGCGUAAAGCGCGCGUAGGCGGCUUGGUAAGCCGGAUGUGAAAGCCCCGGGCUCAACCUGGGAACUGCAUUCGAUACUGCUGGGCUGGAGUACGAGAGAGGGGGGUGGAAUUCCAGGUGUAGCGGUGAAAUGCGUAGAGAUCUGGAGGAACAUCGGUGGCGAAGGCGGCCCCCUGGCUCGAUACUGACGCUGAGGUGCGAAAGCGUGGGGAGCAAACAGGAUUAGAUACCCUGGUAGUCCACGCUGUAAACGAUGUCUGCUAGCCGUUGGGAUCCUUGAGGUCUCGGUGGCGCAGCUAACGCGAUAAGCAGACCGCCUGGGGAGUACGGCCGCAAGGUUAAAACUCAAAGGAAUUGACGGG